CCGCUAUUGCUUUACGACUGAGGAUAAAUUCUAUCCGGAGCCGAUUGACUGAUCCUGUUCCCCUGUUUGUUUCGUUCUGGGGGCAAGUCAGUUGCUGCUUUCGUUUCCUCCGCGCUUCUCCUUCCUUGCGGCCAGAAGUAGGAUUUGUUUUGUCCUGCCGGUUUGCUCCAUGCGUGAUUGCUGCGUUUGCUUUUUGUUGUUUGAUCUUCCUUUCUAUCCUCGUUUGCUUCUCUAUUUCGCACAUCUCUGCUCCGUGCCGCUGCUCCUCGCUGCUGUGUCCUUUGUGACAAAGAACAGGGCCAUUCCUUGCUAUGGUCAGAUGAUGGUUCGUAGUUUUUUUUAUUGCAGCUGCUGGUAGUGUUGGCUUCUCUUUUUUUUUUUUUGAGAUUUUAAUACUCCUGGCUUCCUUAUUGGUGGCAGCGGGUUCUUCUUUUUUUGUACCUUGCUUCUGUUAGCCUUUAGGUGUACAUGUUCUUUUAUCUUUUUGUUCUAUUUUUGCAGAAACUGCUACUCGCAGUGCUGGAAUCCUAUGUAGCAUAUGCUGACUAAUAACUGUUUAGUGGUUGUAGCUUGAAUCUACGAUGUAAUAUAGCUACUACUGUGCCUCUAUUUUCACUUCUAUCAUCAUCAUCUGCUUUAAAAUAUUGUUUAUGCGCGCGCCAAACACUAGUCUCCGAUAACAUUCAUGGCGGGGGAGGCGCCGGGGCAGCCCGGCCACGUCCCCCGAAAAUCGAUGGGCCCUGCGAUGGUCAUCUGAUGGCUUGCUGCGCCUUGGCCCAUGCAGCCGCGGUGAUUUGCAUCGCUCCGCUCGCGCCGUCCUGCAGGACACGCAGGCCCCUGCCUGGCUUUGCGCUUUGCGCUGUCGCCGACGCGUGCGCCGCCUUCCGAACGCCGCGUGGCGUCGCGCUGCAGCGGAGCCUGCGGUGAUGCUGUUGCAUGUUGUUUGGCCGCGGCUGCUUGGAGUACCUACGGAUAAAUACUACACGGAGCUGAUCCUUUUUUGCUGUUACCGGCAUGACCACCUCGCCGGGACGUAGAACUCGCCGCCGGUCCCCACACCAGCGGAGGCAGGUAAGCAGCAUGAUGAGGUGGACAGAAAAUUGGCCCAACGUGAAGUUGUCUGAUUUGAGCGAGUAGCAACUCGAUAGGAGCGCGGGUAGUAAGCCAAUAACUCGAUGCUCGCGACUCAGUAAACAAUGAUUCAGGUGCUCGACAGAAUGCUCCAGUUGUGACAUGACACUAGAAGCUCUGUUGGCAACGGAACAAUACUUUGGCAAAGUGAAGCUGCAUCCAGAAGAUGGACUUCUAAUUGUUUUCCACUUACUAUGUAUUUUUCCUGCUUGAUCAAGAUUAUUUGAUAUUAAGUCAAUUCUUCCAUUCAGUAGGUUAUGAUUUAAAAGCCAAAUUGAAAUCCUUUUGCUUUCCCAGUUUUCCCUUUUUAAGUUUAUUCAGAUUCCAUUCUAUUUAGUUUAACUUAUCUAAUUAAAUGUCCAGCUAAUCUUAUAUUCACUUAUUACUUAUUGCGAGCUGUCAAUUUACCUUGUCUUUAACUUAUACAGUGCUUCAGUAUUCCAAAGAAUCUCAUUUUCUUCUUUCCAAUUUAUUUUGGUCAGUGGCUGGGUUCUUCGUCUUUAUUGCUUAUUAGAGAAUCAGAAUGACAAACACCUUACAAUCAAGUUAUUCCCACCAUUCAUGUCGGAAGUAUGCUAUUCCUUGUAACAUCAUUAAAUCCACUUGCUUUGCAUCUAUCACAGCAAAACAAAAUGCCAAGCAGAUAACCCUUCCAGAAAUAUUUGUUCAGAGCCUUCAAAUGACAGCAGCCAUGAAACAAAAAGCGUGGGCCCCUACCAACUUACAGCUCGUACCUGAUUGAAGCUAUAUAUAACCUCAGUAGCUAAAGAUUAAGAUGCCUUGACUAAGGUAUCUUAUUUUUCAUGGUUAAAGUUGUCAGAUGAUUCUAUAUAUACUUUCUUAGUACUUAUAUUGUGCAAGAUGGAACAGAAAUAACAAUGUACCUGCAACCACUUUCUAUGUUAGAUCCAUACUCUGCAAUGAAAAAGGAUACUUUUCGAUCUAUA